rnacentral:tmRNA from 1 species
GGGGACGAUCCGGCUUCGACGGGAGUAUUGACGUCCCAGAUGCAUGUCGGGGUGCCGUAGGCCCCGUUAAAAAACGGCAACCUGUAAUUGGCAACGAUUACGCACUUGCAGCUUAAUUAAGUUUAAGCAGCACGUUUUACCGGGUCUCGCCCAUGGAUUCGGAUAAAACGUCAUUUAGUGGGCUAGCUUCCACGGUCUCGCAGAUGCCGCGGUCGCGAAACCAAAGUCUGCGGAGGGUCAGUGCAGUCUGUUUGUGGACGUCACCGGCUCAAUCCAAAGCACAAACUACACAUGUAGAUUCUGGCGAUUGAUUGCUUUCGGACCUGGGUUCGACUCCCAGCGUCUCCACCA